rnacentral:rRNA from 1 species
AUGCCUCCCCAAGUGGCAGAAUUGCUCAGCCGCUACAAGGAAGUAUUUGAUGAACCAACGGGGUUGCCCCCAAAACGGGCGUGUGAUCACCGCAUACCCCUGCUACCAGGCGCCCAACCCUUUGCUAUCCGUCCCUACCGCUACUCCCCAGCCCUCAAGACAGAAAUCGAGCGACAAGUGCCUGACCUCCUGCGGAAAGGGAUCAUACAGAUCAGUCAAAGCCCCUUUUCCUCACCCGUGGUCCUGGUGCGCAAGAAGGACCUGACUUGGCGCUUGUGCGUUGAUUACCGGCGUCUCAACGCCCUGACAUGCAAGACAACCUUCCCAAUCCUAGUCACUGACGAGCUCUUGGAUGAGCUAUCUGGUUCACGCUGGUUCUCUAAGUUGGACCUCCGUUCGGGGUACCAUCAAAUCCGGUUGGCAGAAGGCGAGGCACCGAAGACGGCCUUCCAGACACACAGCGGGCACUACGAAUACAGAGUCAUAUCCUUCGGGCUUGCCUAUACACCAGCUACCUUCCAGGGAGCGAUGAAUGUCACCCUAUCACCUGUGUCCCGCAAAUGUGUGCUCGUCUUCUUCGACGACAUCCUGGUAUUCAGUGCUACCUUUGAAGAUCACAUGAGAGACUUGGAAGAGGUGCUCGGGCUGUUAAAGAAAGAUCAAUGGCAAGUGAAUGAAUCCAAAUGCCUGUUUGCGCAACAGCAACUGACGUACUUGGGCCACCACAUCAGCGCGGAAGGGGUUGAAGGAAAUAUGCCCUAG